UGCCACUUUGGAUGUAGACUCCUAAUGCCC
rnacentral:piRNA from 1 species